rnacentral:rRNA from 1 species
UACGUAGGGUGCAAGCGUUUGUCCGGAAUUAUUGGGCGUAAAGAGCUCGUAGGCGGUCUGUCGCGUCUGCUGUGAAAACCUAGGGCUUAACUCUGGGCGUGCAGUGGGUACGGGCAGGCUAGAGUGCGGUAGGGGAGACUGGAAUUCCUGGUGUAGCGGUGAAAUGCGCAGAUAUCAGGAGGAACACCGGUGGCGAAGGCGGGUCUCUGGGCCGUAACUGACGCUGAGGUGCGAAAGCGUGGGGAGCAAACAGG